UACGUAGGGCGCAAGCGUUGUCCGGAAUUAUUGGGCGUAAAGAGCUCGUAGGCGGCCUGUUACGUCUGCUGUGAAAUCCCGGGGCUUAACCCCGGGCGUGCAGUGGAUACGGGCAGGCUGGAGGCAGGCAGGGGAGAACGGAAUUCCCGGUGUAGCGGUGAAAUGCGCAGAUAUCGGGAGGAACACCGGUGGCGAAGGCGGGUCUCUGGGCCGAAACUGACGCUGAGGAGCGAAAGCGUGGGGAGCAAACAGG
rnacentral:rRNA from 1 species